GACGAACGCUGGCGGCGUGCCUAAUACAUGCAAGUCGAACGAAGCUGUUUUAACUGGUGCUUGCACCGACUUAAACAACUGAGUGGCGAACGAGUGAGUAACACGUGGGUAACCUGCACCAAAGCGGGGAUAACAUUUGGAAACAGAUGCUAAUACCGCAUAACCACAGAAACCACAUGGUUUCUGUGUCAAAGAUGGUUUCGGCUCUCACUUUGGGCUGGACCCGCGGCGUAUUAGCAAGUUGGUAAGGUAAUGGCUGACCAAGGCAAUGAUACGUAGCCGAACUGAGAGGUUGAUCGGCCACAUUGGGACUGAGACACGGCCCAAACUCCUACGGGAGGCAGCAGCAGGGAAUCUUCCACAAUGGACGAAAGUCUGAUGGAGCAACGCCGCGUGAAUGAAGAAGGUUUUCGGAUCGUAAGGCUCUGUUGUCAGAGAAGAACGUGUGCGAGAGUAACUGCUCGUGCAGUGACGGUAUCUGGCCAGAAAGCCACGGCUAACUACGUGCCAGCAGCCGCCGUAA
rnacentral:rRNA from 1 species